UCUCUGCCCAUGAAAAUUCUAUGGCCGCAGUAUUUUGACUGUGCAAAGGUAGCAUAAUCAAUAGUUUUUUAAUUGGAAACUUGAAUGAAAGAGUUGAUGAAAUUUUAACUUUAUUUUAAUAAAAUUAUUGAAUUUAAAAUUUAAGUAAAAAUUCUUAAAUAAUUUUAUGGGACGAGAAGACCCUAUAGAAUUUUAUAAAAAUUAUUUUAAUUAUUAAUUUAAUUAUUGUUUUAAUUAAAUUUAAAUUAAUAUUUUAUUGGGAGGAUUAUUAAAUUAAUUAAACUUUAAUAUUAAAAUUUAUUCAUUAAUUAAAUGAUAUUAAGGAAUUUUUAAAAUAAAUUGUUAGAUUAAAUUACCUUAGGGAUAACAGCGUAAUAUUUUUGGAGAGUUCUUAUUAAUAAAAAUGUUUGCGACCUCGAUGUUGAAUUAAAAUUAAAUUUUAAUGUAGAUAUUUAAAUAUUUAAGUCUGUUCGACUUUUAAAAUUUUUCAUGAUUUGAGUCAAAUC
rnacentral:rRNA from 1 species